AAAGGUUUUUUUAAAGAUGAAACUUAAAAAAAAAUUCUUUCAAACAUCCUAAGUAACUCAUUGGGAGCUAUAGACCUGCUUAGUUAUAAUUCAAUCCAUUCCAAAAACAACCUCUUUGUGAUUCUAUCCAAAUCAUCAUCAAAAAAAUUAUCUCUUAACUUUCCUUUAAAGUCUAAGCUUUUAAAUUAUUUCUAUGCAAAUCCUUUACCUUCUUUUUAAUUUUAAAAAUAAAUACUAAUUUAAAAUUAAAAAUAUAAUAAGACUCCAAGACUUAAUAUACUUCCAUCUCUUUGACAUAUGAUUAAAGAAACUUAGUGAUAUUCCUCCCAUCAAACCUCCCAUGUUUGUUGACCAUAUCUUGUAAUGCUUUGGUCACCACCUUUUUACUUGAUUGUAUGUUUUGUUGUCUCUUUAUAAACAUAUUCAAAGCGAAGAAAAAAUCAUUGGCACUUUCUUUCUUAGUUGUACAUACACCAAUCCCUCUAAAAUCAACUAUCAUCUUCAAAUAUUAAAAAUCUCUUACUUUUGUUUUUUUAAUUUUUAAACUCUUCCUCAUACUCCAAGCUUACACCUUAGCUUUAUAAAUCUAUUGUGCCCCCUUUGUACUUCUAAUUGCCUUGAAGAUG
rnacentral:lncRNA from 1 species